rnacentral:rRNA from 1 species
GAUGAACGCUGACAGAAUGCUUAACACAUGCAAGUCUACUUGAACUUCGGUUUGGGUGGCGGACGGGUGAGUAACGCGUAAAGAACUUGCCUCACAGUUAGGGACAACAUUUGGAAACGAAUGCUAAUACCUGAUAUUAUGAUUUUAGGGCAUCCUAAAAUUAUGAAAGCUAUAUGCGCUGUGAGAGAGCUUUGCGUCCCAUUAGCUAGUUGGAGAGGUAACGGCUCACCAAGGCGAUGAUGGGUAGCCGGCCUGAGAGGGUGAACGGCCACAAGGGGACUGAGACACGGCCCUUACUCCUACGGGAGGCAACAGUGGGGAAUAUUGGACAAUGGACCAAAAGUCUGAUCCAGCAAUUCGGUGUGCAAGAUGACGUUUUUCGGAAUGUAAAGUGCUUUCAGUUGGGAAGAAAAAAAUGACGGUACCAACAGAAGAAGUGACGGCUAAAUACGUG